ACACACGUUGAGCUGAGACCACCUAGGGGCAGGCAAUAUAUUUAUAUAAAUAGACAUUUUUGCCAAUCAACUAAUGUCCAGGUGGUUUGUGAUGCAAAACUCAAAAUUAUGAGUGUUGUUGCGGGUUACCCUGGCGGCUGCCAUGACUCCUUCAUCCUCAGUCAGUCAUCCCUCUUUGAUAAAUUUGAGGCUGGAGAAAUGCCGGAUGGCUGGCUGCUGGGUAUGUACCAAGUAUUUGUGUUUUAUUUUGUGCUUACCUCAACCUGCAUAUUAUGUUAGCACUGUGUUUGUGCAUCAAUGUUUUACAAUGCUGCUAAUCUCUGUUUUUCAGGUGAUGGGGGUUAUGGCUGCUACUCUUGGCUUCUGACUCCAUUGUCCACCCCUGAUUCCCCUGCUGAACACAAUUACAAUCAUGCACAUAAGUCUAUGCGGAAUGUGAUAGAACAAUGUUUUGGUGUACUGAAAUCAAGGUUUCGGUGUCUGGAUAAGUCUGCCGGGCUUUUGUUGUAUAGUCCCUUAAAGGUGACUAGGAUUGUGUUCUGCUGCUGUUUUCUUCAUAACAUGUGUUUGCAGCAACAUCUGCCACAUGAUGAUGUUGAUGAAGAAAACAGUCAGCAAGCAGAGGAGUUAGAAACAUCUGGCGACACUGUGAGUACAGAUAUAGGGAGGCAGACAGCUGAGGGGAAUGUGGACCCUGUGAUUGAGUACUCUCCAAAAUGUGUUCUGGUGGCUGAGGCAACACAGUAGAAAUACGACGUGGGGGUGUGCUUAAUGCUGGUGUUGGUGCGUCGUCAGGAUGACGUCUCUUGCUAGGCCUGCUCGUGUGGCUGCCAGACCCCUGUGAAGGACGUCUUUGUGGACUGUGAUGCGAUGUUGAAGUUCCUAUGGAUUAUUGCAAACAUUAGACUUAUUUUUUUUUGUGGUGGACACAUUAACAGGUGUCGUUUUUGCGUUACCUGUAUUGCCAGCAUCCACAGCUCUUGUAAGUGUUGCUUGUGUUCUUGAAGUGGAGGCUUGCUUUCAUACUGUAAAAAUGAUACAUUGGUGUUUAUGACCUUUCAUUACAGUGUGUACUUUUGUAAGCAGCAACAUUUAGUGAUGUGGACAUAUGUUUAACAUUAUGGGUACAGUUUCUAACAAUAAAUGUUGAAACAAUG